rnacentral:rRNA from 1 species
AGGAAUAUUGGGCAAUGCCCGCAAGGGUGACCCAGCAACGCCGCGUGGAGGAUGAAUGUCGUAAGAUUGUAAACUCCUGUUAGAGGGGAAGAAUAGUACCGGUUGGACCGGUAUAUGACUGUACCCUCAGAGAAAGCCCCGGCUAACUACGUGCCAGCAGCCGCGGUAAUACGUAGGGGGCAAGCGUUGUCCGGAUUUACUGGGUGUAAAGGGCGCGCAGGCGGGAUAAAAAGUCAGUGGUGAAAUCCUACAGCUUAACUGUAGAACUGCCUUUGAUACUUUUAUCCUUGAGUUCGGGAGAGAGUGACGGAAUUCCCGGUGUAGUGGUGAAAUACGUAGAUAUCUGGAAGAACACCAGUUGCGAAGGCGGUCUAUCGGUCCGACACUGACGCUGAGGC